UCCAGAAUCCAGUAAAGCGCAACAGGCGUUCGCUCAAACACAGCAUCACAGUCACACACCUGUGCGCCCUGAACCGGAGCUUCGUAAGAGCACGAAGUGCCAGUGGGACGGACGUCGUAUCGGAGCGACUUGCGGCUGCACCCAUGACACAUAUAUAUAUAUAUAUAUAAAGAAGAAGCAGCACCGUUGACCGUUCACGAGACUCCGAGGCGACACGCAAAGUUGCAUCACCAGCCAUUUUCCCAAGAGAGCACAGCUAGAGCCCAAGAAGUCAAACUCUUUCCAACGUCACGCCCAGAAGGCAGAACAACCCGAGUAGUAAUGCGUCGUCAACAAGAAACACGACGAAGCGCCCGAGAGCUCCGGCACACACGGGAUGAUCGUGUCCCGAUACAGCACACACCGACCGGACAGGCGCGGCGAGGGCCUCGGGAAAGCGUCCGAACGCCGGGCAAAAGCGGAUCGCCAUGAUGGACACGGUCACGGAGCCUGGAGAAUGAGAGUGCGUGGCCCUUUUACUGCAUCAGUCCACGGGCUUGAGCCGUGAAACAAAGCUGCUAUAUUAUAUAUCCCUCCAGCAGUCGCUCUUAUUGCGAAGAGCGCUUUUCCAAGGCCAUCGUAGUCAGUGAUCAAUUCCUGCUUCGAAACAACCACGGCAGCAAGUAUGGAAGUGUGGCAGAGGGCAACGUCGUCGGAAACGGUCAGAUGGUGGGAACUACACUUGUGAAAUUAAGUAUUCUGUGGUUUUGUGUCCACUGGCUUCAACAAACUUUACUUAAGAGUGAGUGCGAAUUAAAUAUUUCCGUUGCACUUCUUCAGCGUCUGUCAUUCACCAGCAGCCUGACCGUGAAACUAAAAUAACCUGUCGAGUUGUUCGCGGUGCCGGAAAGGUACACGAAGUUGUGACGUUAAACGUUGCUGCGCUCAACAAACAGCUCGAGGACAUGAUUUCGUGUCUUUAUUUUGCUUUUUUCCCCCCCCGACCCGAGUGCGAGAGAACGCGACGACUUCGCUCUCUGCUCCGGGUUUCGAUGUUCUCGCCGCGUUCACGUGCGUCUGGCGCAGCGCCAACCAACCAGCAACCUCCUGCACUUACCCGCAGGGAUUAAUAAAGCACA
rnacentral:lncRNA from 1 species